rnacentral:rRNA from 1 species
ACCUUCGGGCCUCUUGCCAUCAGAUGUGCCCAGAUGGGAUUAGCUUGUUGGUGAGGUAACGGCUCACCAAGGCGACGAUCCCUAGCUGGUCUGAGAGGAUGACCAGCCACACUGGAACUGAGACACGGUCCAGACUCCUACGGGAGGCAGCAGUGGGGAAUAUUGCACAAUGGGCGCAAGCCUGAUGCAGCCAUGCCGCGUGUAUGAAGAAGGCCUUCGGGUUGUAAAGUACUUUCAGCGGGGAGGAAGGUGUUGUGGUUAAUAACCGCAGCAAUUGACGUUACCCGCAGAAGAAGCACCGGCUAACUCCGUGCCAGCAGCCGCGGUAAU